rnacentral:rRNA from 1 species
UACGUAGGUGGCAAGCGUUGUCCGGAAUUAUUGGGCGUAAAGCGCGCGCAGGCGGUUUCUUAAGUCUGAUGUGAAAGCCCACGGCUCAACCGUGGAGGGUCAUUGGAAACUGGGGAACUUGAGUGCAGAAGAGAAGAGCGGAAUUCCACGUGUAGCGGUGAAAUGCGUAGAGAUGUGGAGGAACACCAGUGGCGAAGGCGACUCUCUGGCCUGUAACUGACGCUGAGGCGCGAAAGCGUGGGGAGCAAACAGG